rnacentral:ncRNA from 1 species
GGUCCGGUCGGCCACUGACCUCCCCAAAGAACCGGGAGAAAGAACUACCCGCCCACCCACCCUCCCCACCGAAAAGCCCGCGUCACCCGUCCGAGUGACCGGCUUGCAGGUGCGGAAUGCGGGCGGUUACGUUCGCCGCAGCAACCGCGAACAAAUGCGGCCCCCGCCCAGGAUUGCCGUCCUGGAACGAGGGCCUCACCGAUCAGGAAGCCUCAACCUUCCCA